UGGUUUCGCAUUUUUUCAUUUUAGUAUCAUGUGGUUUAAAAUGUAUCAAGUUACUACUAUGUGGUUUCGCAGUUUCUUACUUUAGUAUCCUGUGGUUUAAAGUGUAUCAAGUUAGUACUCUAUGGACCUGUGGUUUUAUUUUUGUAUCAAGUUAGUACUCUGUGGUUUUAUUUUUGUAUCAAGUUAGUGUCCUGUGGUUUUUAAACCACAGGGUACUAAAAUGAGAAAGUGCGAAACUAAAGGGUACUAAAGUGAGAAAGUGCGAAACCACAUAGUACUAACUUCAUACACUUUAAACCACAUGGUACUAAAGUGAAAAAGUGCAAAACCACAGUGUACUAACUUGAUACACUUUAAACCACAAGCUACUAAAGUGAGAAAAAGUGAAACCACGAGGGGGUAUUUGAAGUUUUCCCUAAAGAUUAUUAAGUACAUUCUAUUAAUAUGUAAUAUUACAUUCUAUUAAAUAAAUUACUUUUAUUAAAUAUUAAUAAUAAAUAUUUUAUAUCAAAUUCAAUCAGUACUUUUUUAUUAUUUUUUACUAUCGCAUAAAAUUAACCAAGCAUAAUUUUAAUUUUUUAAAAAUAAAAAUAUUUUAAAUUAAAUAUAAUUUUAUUUUUAUUUUUAACUAUUUCGAAAUAAUAAGCUACUGCAGAAUUUUUUUUAUUUCCAAUAUUCGUUAUUUCUGAACUAAACUGGCAUAGUACAAGGGAUGCAAAUGGAUCCGGAUUGGUGGAGCUUCAAGACGUAGUACUAGGGAUGCAAAUGGAUCUGGGUUAGUGGAGAUUCCGUUCUGAUCCACCCCAAAAGGGCGAUAAGUAGAAACAAAAAAUAUAGAAAAAUAUUAUCCGUCUCGAUCCGUAAGUAAAUCGAGUGGGAGGCAGUAUACUCUUUUCUUACUUUAAUCCGUCUCGAUCCGUCAAAAAUCCGUCAAAAAUUCGCUUCUGCCCGAUUAGCUCCGAAUGCGGCGAUAAGUACGAGCCAAAAAUAAAAUAAAAAAUAAUUCGUCCUGAAUCCGUUCCGUUCAAACAAAAAAUAAAGCGAGAGGUGAAAAACUCUCCUAUUCUGAAUCCGUCCUAUUUGCAUCCCUAUUUAGUA
rnacentral:lncRNA from 1 species